GACCUGGUGGCGAAUGGUAUCGCGCGCGCACCCUAUAAUUUGGUAUCUGCGUUUCCUUCUAGAGCGAGAGACCUUGGUUCGACUCCAGCCCGGGUCA